AACGAACGCUGGCGGCAGGCUUAACACAUGCAAGUCGAGCGCCCCGCAAGGGGAGCGGCAGACGGGUGAGUAACGCGUGGGAAUCUACCCAUCUCUACGGAAUAACGCAUGGAAACGUGUGCUAAUACCGUAUACGUCCUUCGGGAGAAAGAUUUAUCGGAGAUGGAUGAGCCCGCGUUGGAUUAGCUAGUUGGUGGGGUAAAGGCCUACCAAGGCGACGAUCCAUAGCUGGUCUGAGAGGAUGAACAGCCACACUGGGGCUGAGACACGGCCCAGACUCCGACGGGAGGCAGCAGUGGGGAGUAUUGUACAAUGGGCGCAGGCCUGAUCCAGCCAUGCCGCGUGAGUGAUGAAUGCCCUAGGGUUGUAAAGCUCUUUCACCGGUGGAGAUAAUGACGGUAACCGGAGAAGAAGCCCCGGCUAACUUCGUGCCAGCCGCCGCAGUAAUAC
rnacentral:rRNA from 1 species